rnacentral:rRNA from 1 species
GACGAACGCUGGCGGCGUGCUUAACACAUGCAAGUCGAACGGAAAGGCCCUGCUUUUGUGGUGUGCUCGAUUGGCGAACGGGUGAGUAACACGUGUGUAACCUGCCCUUGACUUUGGGAUAACUUCAGGAAACUGGGGCUAAUACCGGAUAGGAUCUCCUGCUGCAUGGUGGGGGUUGGAAAGUUUCGGCGGUUGGGGAUGGACUCGCGGCUUAUCAGCUUGUUGGUGGGGUAGUGGCUUACCAAGGCUUUGACGGGUAGCCGGCCUGAGAGGGUGACCGGCCACAUUGGGACUGAGAUACGGAGCAGACUCCUACGGGAGGCAGCAGUGGGGAAUAUUGCACAAUGGGCGGAAGCCUGAUGCAGCAACGCCGCGUGCGGGAUGACGGCCUUCGGGUUGUAAACCGCUUUCGCCUGUGACGAAGCGUGAGUGACGGUAAUGGGUAAAGAAGCACCGGCUAACUACGUG